ensembl:lncRNA
UAGUAUUCACUCUGAUAUGGGGGCUGUAGUAUUCACACUGAUAUGGGGGCUGUAGUAUUCAUUCACUGAUAUGGGGGCUGUAGUAUUCACUCUGAUAUGGGGGCUGUAGUAUUCACACUGAUAUGGGGGCUGUAGUAUUCACUCUGAUAUGGGGGCUGUAGUAUUCACACUGAUAUGGGGGCUAUAGUAUUCACACUGAUAUGGGGGCUCUAGUAUUCACACUGAUAUGGGGGCUAAAGUAUUCACACUGAUAUGGGGGCUAGUAUUCACACUGAUAUGGGGGCUCUAGUAUUCACACUGAUAUGGGGGCUAAAGUAUUCACUCUGAUAUGGGGGCUCUAGUAUUCACACUGAUAUGGGGGCUGUAGUAUUCACACUGAUAUGGGGGCUGUAGUAUUCACACUGAUAUGGGGGCUGUAGUAUUCACUCUGAUAUGGGGGCUGUAGUAUUCACUCUGAUAUGGGGGCUGUAGUAUUCACACUGAUAUGGGGGCUGUAGUAUUCACACUGAUAUGGGGGCUAUAGUAUUCACACUGAUAUGGGGGCUCUAGUAUUCACACUGAUAUGGGGGCUAAAGUAUUCACUCUGAUAUGGGGGGGGCUGUAGUAUUCACACUGAUAUGGGGGCUGUAGUAUUCACACUGAUAUGGGGGCUGUAGUAUUCACACUGAUAUGGGGGCUAGUAUUCACUCUGAUAUGGGGGCUGCAGUAUUCACUCUGAUAUGGGGGCUGUAGUAUUCACUCUGAUAUGGGGGCUGUAGUAUUCACACUGAUAUGGGGGCUGUAGUAUUCACUCUGAUAUGGGGGCUGUAGUAUUCACUCUGAUAUGGGGGCUGUAGUAUUCACACUGAUAUGGGGGCUGUAGUAUUCACUCUGAUAUGGGGGCUGUAGUAUUCACUCUGAUAUGGGGGCUGUAGUAUUCACUCUGAUAUAGGGGCUGUAGUAUUCACUCUGAUAUGGGGGCUGUAGUAUUCACUCUGAUAUGGGGACUGUAGUAUUCACACGGAUAUAGGGGCUGUAGUAUUCACUCUGAUAUAGGGGCUGUAGUAUUCACUCUGAUAUGGGGGCUGUAGUAUUCAAUCUGAUAUGGGGGCUGUAGUAUUCAUAUUUAAAUGGGGGCUGUAGUAUUCACUCUGAUAUAGGGGCUGUAGUAUUCAGUCUGAUAUGGGGGCUGUAGUAUUCACUCUGAUAUGGGGGCUAAAGUAUUCACACUGCUAUGGGGGCUCUAGUAUUCACACUGAUAUGGGGGCUCUAGUAUUCACACUGAUAUGGGGGCUCUAGUAUUCACACUGAUAUGGGGGCUAAAGUAUUCACUCUGAUAUGGGGGCUAAAGUAUUCACACUGAUAUGGGGGCUGAAGUAUUCACUCUGAUAUGGGGGCUCUAGUAUUCACUCUGAUAUGGGGGCUGUAGUAUUCACUCUGAUAUGGGGGCUAGUCUACUGUAUAUAUCAGUCUGGACAUGGACAUGCCAACCGUAGUCACUAAGCAAUAUUAAAUUA